rnacentral:rRNA from 1 species
GAACGCUGGCGGCGUGCCUAAUGCAUGCAAGUCGAGCGACGCAUACCGGAGGGGUAACCCACUGGUAUGACGGAGCGGCGAACGGGUGAGUAACACUUGAGCAACCUGCCCCACAGAUCGGGAUAGCCCAGGGAAACCUGGAUUAAUACCGAAUAUCCUCGGAGGACCGCAUGGUCCGCUGAGGAAAUGCCUUUGUGCUGUGGGAUGGGCUCGAGGCUUAUCAGCUAGUUGGUGGGGUAACGGCCUACCAAGGCAUCGACGAGUAGCUGGUCUGAGAGGACGAUCAGCCACACUGGGACUGAGACACGGCCCAGACUCCUACGGGAGGCAGCAGCAGGGAAUCUUGCGCAAUGGGCGAAAGCCUGACGCAGCAACGCCGCGUGGGGGAUGAAGGCCUUCGGGUUGUAAACCCCUUUCAGGAGGGAAGAAAUUGACGGUACCUCCAAAAGAAGCACCGGCCAACUACGUGCCAGCAGCCGCGGUAAUACGUAGGGUGCGAGCGUUAUCCGGAAUCAUUGGGCGUAAAGAGCUCGUAGGCGGUUCAGCAAGUCGGCUGUGAAAUUCCGAGGCUCAACCUCGGAACUGCAGUCGAUACUGCUGUGACUCGAGUCCGGUAGAGGAGAAUGGAAUUCCCGGUGUAGCGGUGAAAUGCGCAGAUAUCGGGAGGAACACCAGUAGCGAAGGCGGUUCUCUGGGCCGGCACUGACGCUGAGGAGCGAAAGCGUGGGUAGCAAACAGGAUUAGAUACCCUGGUAGUCCACGC